ACAACAGUUGGAAACGACUGCUAAUACCGCAUAGUAAGAAAGAUUCGCAUGUUUCUUUCUUGAAAGAUUUAUCGCUAUGAGAUGGACCCGCGUCUGAUUAGCUAGUUGGUAAGGUAACGGCUUACCAAGGCGACGAUCAGUAGCCGGCUUGAGAGAGUGAACGGCCACAUUGGGACUGAGACACGGCCCAAACUCCUACGGGAGGCAGCAGUGGGGAAUAUUGCACAAUGGGGGAAACCCUGAUGCAGCGACGCCGCGUGAGUGAAGAAGUAUUUCGGUAUGUAAAGCUCUAUCAGCAGGGAAGAUAAUGACGGUACCUGACUAAGAAGCCCCGGCUAACUACGUGCCAGCAGCCGCGGUAAUACGUAGGGGGCAAGCGUUAUCCGGAUUUACUGGGUGUAAAGGGUGCGUAGGUGGCAAGGCAAGUCAGAUGUGAAAGCCCGGGGCUCAACCCCGGUACUGCAUUUGAAACUGUCUAGCUAGAGUGCAGGAGAGGUAAGCGGAAUUCCUAGUGUAGCGGUGAAAUGCGUAGAUAUUAGGAGGAACACCAGUGGCGAAGGCGGCUUACUGGACUGUAACUGACACUGAGGCACGAAAGCGUGGGGAGCAAACAGGAUUAGAUACCCUGGUAGUCCACGCCGUAAAC
rnacentral:rRNA from 1 species